AUUGAACGCUGGCGGCGUGCCUAACACAUGCAAGUCGAACGCGACUUAGGCUUCGGUCUAAGUUGAGUGGCGAACGGGUGAGUAACACGUGGGUGACCUACCUUCGAGUGGGGGAUAACGUCCCGAAAGGGACGCUAAUACCGCAUAACAUCCUGCCUUUGAACAGGUGGAGAUCAAAGCCGGGGAUCGCAAGGCCUGGCGCUUGAUGAGGGGCCCGCGCCUGAUUAGCUAGUUGGNGGGUAAUGGCUCACCAAGGCGACGAUCAGUAUCCGGCCUGAGAGGGCGGACGGACACACUGGGACUGAGACACGGCCCAGACUCC
rnacentral:rRNA from 1 species